UUGUUUUUCUCUUACAGCCACAGAGUUUGAUAGGUCAAGAACAGUUUAGGAAUAAAUAGAAAAUGGGGGACAUUGCCCUGCCUCCCCUUUGAAAGGCCUUCUGUGAAGAGACUGAGCAGAAGGCCUGAAGGGUGCCAUCCCAGCCCUCCUCCUUUUCCACAGGAUCAGUUCAGGAUCAGAGGAGGAGGAGGAAGAGUCCCUCAUGGAGAGGGAAGGAGGGACUUUGGGGCGCUCUAUGGGGCCCUUUCCAGCUCUAUGGGGGCACCCUUCCUCCUUUUUCCCUUGGACACAGCAUGAGGCUGCCAUCCUUGACGAUAGUAGCCUUAUGGUCCAUCAGAGGGGAAGGGUUUGGGAGAAAUGCCUGGGCCACUCACUGCCUUUCCGUGGGACUUAGAAUCAUGGAAGCAUAGGAUUAGAGGAGACUGCAAGGGCCUUCCAGUCCAAACCCCUGCCAUGCAGGAAUACACAAUCAAAGCACCCUCAACACAUGGCCAUCCAGCCUCUGUAUAAAGUCCUCCAAAAAGGAGUCUCCUCCACCUUCCAACGGAGUCUGUUACACUAUCGAACAGCUGCUACCUUUAGGAAGUUCUUCUAAUGUCCAGAUGGAAUCUCUCUUCCUGUAGUUUGAAUGCUCCAGGUCCUAGGCUCUGGAGCAGAAGAAAUCAAACUUGCUCCAUCCUCAAUAUGAUAGUCCUUCAAAUGUUUAAACACAGCUAUUAUAUCACCUCUUAACUUUCUUUUCCCAGGCUGAACAUACCCAGCUCCCUGAGUCUCUCCUCAUAAGGCAUGUUUCCAGACUCUUCGCCAUGCUCCAGUUUCCCCAGAUCCUUUUUGAAUUGUAAUGCCCAGAACUGGGCACAAUAUUCCAGGAAGGUGUCCCCAGUCUUUUGCCUUGAGGCAACAGGAAGAAGUGCCUCUUUGUUUUGGAACGUGUCUAUGAGCACCAGUCAAUGAUGGAAAAGCAAGACUCAUUUGGCCCUGAGUUAGGGAAAGGUCUUCCAUGUCUUUUAGAUGAAAGCAGUGGGGAAUAUUGCAGAGAAACUACACAGAAGAGCCUGACAGAAGAUAUGUCCCAUUCAGAGGUACAGCAUGAGCAUUUUAAGCAGUUCUUUUACAAGGAAGCCGACGCCCCCCGAGAAGUUUGAGGUCAACUCCAUGCUCUUUGCCAUCAUUGGCUGCAGCCAAAGAGACACACCAAAGCCCAGAUCCUGGACCUGGUGAUCCUUGAGCAGUUCCUGGCCAUCCUUCCCCCAGAGAUGGCAGCCUGGGUCAGGGAAUGUGGGGCAGAGACCAGUUUGUAGGCGGUGGCCCUGGCUGAAGGUUUCCUCCUGAGCCAGGCAGAGGAGAGGAAGCCAGGAAAAGCAACAGGAUCUCAUUGUAGAAGAGGCUGGUGAUCGUCCUGUGGCAGAGAAGGCUCUCUCAGACUCUGGAAAGACAGUGCAGUCCAAGUGGAUGGUAUAGCGAAAUGAGAGUAGCACCACCAUAAUGGGUGAGCUUUGAGGAGGUGGCUGUGUAUUUCAGUGAGGAGGAGUGGUGCUUUCUGGAUCCAGACCAAAGGGCCUUGCAUACGGAAGUCAUGGAGGAGAAUUUGGAGACGGUGGCUUCCUUGGGUGGUGAAAUAAUUGGAAGUGAAGACAGAAGUUAUUAUUAUUUAUUAUUAACCUUUAUUUAUAAAGCACUGUAAAUUUACACAGCGCUGUACAUACAAUCUUUUUAAUUGGACAGCUCCCUGCCCUC